ACGAACGCUGGCGGCGUGCUUAACCCAUGCAAGUCGAACGGAAAGGCCCUGCUUUUGUGGGGUGCUCGAGUGGCGAACGGGUGAGUAACACGUGAGUAACCUGCCCUUGACUUUGGGAUAACUUCAGGAAACUGGGGCUAACACCGGAUAGGAGCUCCUGCUGCAUGGUGGGGGUUGGAAAGUUUCGGCGGUUGGGGAUGGACUCGCGGCUUAUCAGCUUGUUGGUGGGGUAGUGGCUUACCAAGGCUUUGACGGGUAGCCGGCCUGAGAGGGUGACCGGCCACAUUGGGACUGAGAUACGGCCCAGACUCCUACGGGAGGCAGCAGUGGGGAAUAUUGCACAAUGGGCGGAAGCCUGAUGCAGCAACGCCGCGUGCGGGAUGACGGCCUUCGGGUUGUAAACCGCUUUCGCCUGUGACGAAGCGUGAGUGACGGUAAUGGGUAAAGAAGCACCGGCUAACUACGUG
rnacentral:rRNA from 1 species